ACUACAACUGAACCUACAAGAACAACAAUGACCUUCAGCAGCAUAUUGAUCUGGACACUGGCAGCAUUAUGUGGAGAAUGUAUUGGUCAGGUGACAGUGACUCAAACUCCCUCAGUGCUGCUCUCUGAACCUGGACGAUCUCUCACUGUCCACUGCAGAUUUAGCAGUAAUCCAGACUGCUGUUAUCACGUUAGCUGGUACUUACAGAAACCUGGAGAAGCUCCUAAACUCCUGAUUUAUUAUACAGAUGUCCUCCAGCCAGGAACUGCAUCUAGAUUCAGUGGCAGUGGAUCUAACAGUGAUUUCACUCUGAGCAUCAGUGGAGUCCAGACUGAAGAUGCUGGACAUUAUUACUGUCAGAGCUACCACUACAUCAACAGUAAAUAUGUGUUCACACAGUGAUAAAGAGUGAUACAAAAACCUCCGUCAGUCAGUCAGAGUCACCGAGACUGAACUGAUCCUGGAGCAGCUCAAACACUGAACACUACUGACACACAGAGGACAAACACACACACUACACACAGAUCAACACACUGAGUUCUGACUUAAAUCAGCUCUAAUAGACUGUGAUCUGUAAUGAGUUCAACUCUGAAUUAGUAAAUUAAAAACUGGAAAAAUAUCAAAGCAAACAUUUAUUCAAAGCAUUAUAAAAUAAAACAUUAAAUGAAUUUACCAAAAAAUAUACACAUAUAAAGAUAUAAAGCAAAUGUAAGUGUAAGUACAGCAUUUCAGUGUCAGUAUCAGCACUAAGACGCUAAACUUCAAUUAAUGUUUAUUUGCUUUACACAUGAAAACAUCCAGAAUAAAUCAUUACCAUAGACACUGACUGAAACAAUUAAUUCAUUAUGUUCUUCAUGUAUUAAAUAACCCAAAUCUCUCUAUCAUAUUCUGAUUCAGUGUGUGAGAGAUGUUGAUAAGUGCAGCGCAUGUUUCUGUUCCUCCUGAAUCUGCAGGUGUUUUCAUGCUCCACUGACUG